rnacentral:rRNA from 1 species
AGCGAACGCUGGCGGCGUGCUUAACACAUGCAAGUCGAGUGCGCGGUUCGUAGCAAUACGAACUGGCGCACGGCGCACGGGUGAGGAACACGUGGGCAACAUGCCCUCCGAUGGGGAAUAACCCGCCGAAAGGCGGGCUAAUACCGCAUACGAUUCCGGGGACCUCGGUUCCUGGACUGAAAGCCCGCAAGGGCGUCGGUGGAGUGGCCCGCGGCCGAUUAGCUUGUGGCGGGGUAACGGCCCACCAAGGCAAUGAUCGGUAGCCGGUCUGAGAGGAUGAUCGGCCACACUGGAACUGAGACACGGUCCAGACUCCUACGGGAGGCAGCAGUGGGGAAUCUUGCGCAAUGGGCGAAAGCCUGACGCAGCGACGCCGCGUGGGGGAUGAAG